GCCUGAUCCAKCCAUGCSGSGUGUGUGAUGAAGUSCCUUASKGUYGUAAAGCMCUUUCCCCWKARAKGAUAAUGACAGUAUCUGGUAAAGAAACCCCGGCUAACUCCGUGCCAGCAGCCGCGGUAAUAYGGAGUGGGGUUAGCGUUGUUCGGAAUUACUGGGCGUAAAGCGYACGUAGGCGGAUUAGUCAGUCAGAGGUGAAAUCCCAGGGCUCCACCCUGGAACUGCCUUUGAUACUGCUAGUCUUGAGUUCGAGAGAGGUGAGUGGAAUUCCGAGUGUAGAGGUGAAAUUCGUAGAUAUUCGGAGGAACACCAGUGGCGAAGGCGGCUCACUGGCUCGAUACUGACGCUGAGGUGCGAAAGUGUGGGGAGCAAACAGGAUUAGAUACCCUGGUAGUCCACACCGUAAACGAUGAAUGCCAGUCGUCGGGUAGUAUACUAUUCGGUGACACACCUAACGGAUUAAGCA
rnacentral:rRNA from 1 species